rnacentral:misc_RNA from 1 species
GGAAAAUGCAAAAAACUCUCUAGUUUGGGAUGCUGAUAAGAUACGAAACUUUGAGAAGGAGCUAAUUUCUGUGAUCAAUGAUGAAGAGCAGUAUUGGGCUCAAAAAGCUAGGCAAUCUUGGCUGCAAUUGGGUGAUAGGAAUACAUCUUUCUUCCAUGCCAAAUAUGUCGAAAGAAGGAAGAGGAAUCACAUUGCUGGUCUCAAAGAUAAUCAGGGGGCUUGGAA